UCUCUCAUCUCUCAUCUCUAUCUCUCAAGUCUCCAUUACUCAUUCAUCAUUUCACUUCUCAAGUGUUUCAGCCAUAUUAAUUCACUCUCUCCACGUUUAGUUCAUGAAGCAUGUAUCCAUCUUUAAGUUUUCUAUAAAUAAGACUCCUCUCAUUUGCCUAAUUUAGGCAGUCCAACAAAAAUUGCAACAGGAGGCAUGGCUGAGCAUCAAGGUUCAAAAUGGAAGUGAUAUGGGGCGUAACAAGCUUAGGAGUGAAAAGACAAGACGUGGCUAGUCUUAUAGUGAAGAAAAAGUCCUACUAGCUUCUUUGAAGGACAUAAUAGGGCAAGGAUGGAAAUCGGAAAAUGGUAUCAGAAACGGAUACCUCUUCAAACUGAAGAUGCUUUGAAACGGGACUUCCCCAACACUGGUUUAAGGGCUACCCCACACAUAUCAUCAAAAAUUACUACGUUGAAGAGGAGUUAUUCCUCGCUGUGAAUAUUCUUAGUCGUAGCGGGAUUGGAUUCAAUCUCAAUGGCGAUCGUAGGAUCGAGUGUGAGGACGAACAAUGGGAGCAAAUCAUCAAGGUAUUGAUAAUACCAAGGUGUUUAUUUAUUCAUUUUCGAUUAUUAAUUUGUUCCACUAAAUUACGAUGAGAAACCAGAAUAUAUUUAUGGGUUUGAUGUGAAUUAUCAUAUUCACUUUGUGUGAGUAAUAAGCGUGCCACAAAGAUUAUUUAUUUAUGUUUUAUUAUUACUUUGUUUGACUAUCAUCAUACAAUUAAUUUAUAUAAAAUAUAUUUUCGGA